GUAGGUGGCAAGCGUUGUCCGGGAAUUAUUGGGCGUAAAGCGCGCGCAGGCGGUUCUUUAAGUCUGAUGUGAAAGCCCACGGGCUCAACCGUGGAGGGUCAUUGGAAACUGGAGAACUUGAGUACAGAAGAGGAAGGCGGAAUUCCACGUGUAGCGGUGAAAUGCGUAGAGAUGUGGAGGAACACCAGUGGCGAAGGCGGCUUUCUGGUCUGUAACUGACGCUGAGGCGCGAAAGCGUGGGGAGCAAACAGGAUUAGAUACCCUGGUAGUCCACGCCGUAAACGAUGAGUGCUAAGUGUUAGGGGUUUCCGCCCCUUAGUGCUGCAGCUAACGCAUUAAGCACUCCGCCUGGGGAGUACGGCCGCAAAGGCUG
rnacentral:rRNA from 1 species